rnacentral:tRNA from 1 species
GGAGAGAUGGCUCAGCAGUUAAGAGCACUGGCUGUUCUUCCAGAGGUCCUGAGUUCAAUUCCCAGCAUCUACA